rnacentral:rRNA from 1 species
CGAAGUUAGCCGGGGCGUUCUUCUGAAGCUACCGUCAUUAUCUUCACUUCUGAAAGAGCUUUACAACCCUAAGGCCUUCUUCACUCACGCGGCAUGGCUGGAUCAGGCUUUCGCCCAUUGUCCAAUAUUCCCC